AUUGCAAGCCUCUGCAGAGGCGCUGGAGCUGGGUCAGUCCGCCGCUCACCCCGCGGCCGCACCUUCCCGCCUUCUCAGUUGUUCAAAGAGAUGGCUUUGAAUUCCAGCUUACAUGGCGUCUUCAACAAAAAGUAAUUGUUUAGAGAAGUGACAAGAUGAAGGAGGACUCUGAGUCCUAGUCUCCCUCCUCGAGUCCCUGUGUGAGCAGAGGUAAACAAUGAAAACUCACCAACCAGGAGAAAUUCACCUAGGACUGGCGCAGAAGGUAUACACCAUGAGCCUGGAAAUGAUUUAAAAAACAACACAGGCUGGGCGCGGUGGCUCACACCUAUAAUCCCAGCACUUUGGGAGGCAGAGGCGGGCGGAUCACUUGAGGUUUGCGAGUUGGAAACCAGUCUGACCAACGUGGAGAAACCCCGUCUUUACUAAAAAUACAAAAUUAGCCAGGUGUGGUGGCGCAUGUCUGUAAUCCCAGCUACUGGGGAAGCUGAGGCAGGAGAAUCCCUUGAACCUGAGAGAUGGAGGUUGAUGUGAGCUGAGAUCACACAAUUGCAGUCCAGCCUGGGCAGCAAGAGUGAAACUCCAUCUCAAAAAAACAAAAAAAACAACCCACAACUGUGGGCCAAAGGGACACAGCGACAAGGGGUCCCAAUGGGCGAGGCUGGAAUAACUUGAAUAGCAGAAUAAAGUAGCAUUGGAUUAUAAUGCACAGGGCUGAAGAAAUAUCGAUGAGUCUUUGCUGAUGUAAUAAGUGACUGAAUGAGCUGGGCAGAGUGGGACCUGUAGUUCAGCUACUCAGAGGCUGAGGUGGGAGCAUCAGUUGAGCCCAGGAGUCAAGGCCUAGUAAUAUCCCAUUUCCAAAAUAAAAGACUGAAUUAAUAAAUAGAUGGGAGAGAGGAGACAAUUGACCAUGCAGGAGGAGUCCAAAUAUUUGUUCUUUGAGGCAGGAUCUUCCUCUGUCAUUCAGAAGGCUGGAGUGCAAUGGUGCGCUGUUGCCUUGCUGCAGCCUGGACCUCCUGGGCUCAGGCAGUUGUCCCACCUCAGCCUCCCAAGUAGCUGGGACCAGAGGCAUGCACAUCCAGCCGAGUCCAAAUAGUGUAUGCAGAUAUGCCCUCACAGAGGUGACCUGAACUUUCUGAGUUGUGAGUGAGCUUCACCUGGGGACCUCCUUUUAGGUAGCAGGGAAAAAGAGGAGGGUGAGCCACACCCAGGCACCUCCUUCCAGAGAGCAUGUGCCUCAGCCUCCAGAGUAGCUGGGAUUGCAGACAUGUGCCACCAGCCCGACUAAUUUUUGUAUUUUUAGUCGAUACGGGGGGGUCUCACUAUGUUGCCCAGGCUGGUCUUGAACUCCUGGGUUCAGGUGAUCUUCCCACUUCAGCCUCCCAAAGUGCUGGGAUUACAGGUGAGAUAAAACUUCCUUAUUCACAGACUACAUGAUUGUCUAUAUAGAGAACACUCAUCUAAAGCAACAGCAAUGAUUGCCACAAAGACCCUCGUAGAGCCAGUAAGUGAGUUUGGAAUGUUCACCAGUAACACAUACAAAUUAAUCUUAGGGCUGCGUGCAGUGGCUCAUGCCUGUAAUCCCAGCACUUUGGGAGGCUGAGGCCGAGGCUGGUGGAUGGCCUAAGGUCAGGAGUUUGAGACCAGCUGACCAACAUGGUGAAACCCUGUGUCUACUAAAAAUAGGAAAACUAUCCAGGCAUGGUGGCGGGCACUGUAAUCCCAGCUACUCAGGAGGCUGAGGCAGGAGAAUCGCUUGAAUCCGGGAAGCAGAGGCUGCAGUGAGCCGAGAUCGCACCAUUGCACUCCAGCCUGAGCAACAAGAGUGGAACUCUGUCUCAAAAAAAAUAAAAGACCCGGUGUGGUGGCUCAUGCCUGUAAUCCCAACGCUCUUUGGGAGGCUGAGGCAGGCGUAUCACCAGGUCAGGAGUUGGAGAUCAGCCUGACCAACAUGGUGAAACCCUGUCUCUACUAAAAAUACAAAAAUUAGCCGGGUGUGGUGGCACACACCUGUAAUCGCAGCUACUCAGGAGGCUGAGACAGGAGAAUUGCUUGAACCUGGGAGGCAGAGGUUGCAGUGAGCUGAGAUCAUGCCACAUUUGAACCCGUGAGGCAGACGUUGCAGUGAGCCGAGAUCAUGUCACUGCACUCCAGCCUGGGCAACAGAGCCAGACUGUCUCAAAAAAAAAAAAAAAAUCUUACUUCUAUAGACAAUAAAACAUUGGAAACUGAAGUUAAAAACACAGUAGCUCCUGAGAGAGAGAGAGAGGUAUAAAUCUAACAAGACAAAACAGGAUCUGUAUGCUAAAAAGACUAUGUAUGUGGAGAGACGGCACACAGCACGCUCAUAGACUGGAAGACUGAACAUAAGAUGCCAGUCUCAGAAGGAUCUGUGAAAUUAACAAAAUUCCAAAACAUUGCAGUAGGACUCUUUUUAGAUUUAGAAAAGAUGAUUUUAAAAUGUAUACAGAAUGGUGAAGGAGCUAGCUAAAACAGUAAAAAGGAUAGAUAAAACAAUGUUUUAAAAAGAACAAAAAAGUUAGAUGAAUCACAUUACACAGUUUUAACAGACUUUAAAGCCACAAAAAUCAAGACUGUCGUAUUGGCAAAGAACAGACAGAUGGGUCAGUGAUCAGAGAGUCUAGAAACAGACCCACAUAAAUAGGGCCAUUUGAUCUUUGACAGCAGUGCAAACAAAAGCAACCCUGUGGAGAAAGGAUUGUCCAUUCAACAGAGCAGUGGGGCAGUUGGUCAUCCAUAUGGUAGAAAUGGAACCUUGGCCUAAACCUCACAUUGUACACAAUUAACUCCAAUCAUAUGUAAACGUAAAACAAAACUAUAAAAUGUUUGGAAGAAAACAGAAAAAUACCUUUGUACCUGAUGACAUUUGGUAGAGUUCUUAGACAUGAUCCCAAAGGCAUAAUCCACAGAAGAAUCCAUAAAAGAAAAAUUUGUAAAUUGGACUUUAUCAAAAUUAAAAACUUACUUUUUUGAGAUAGGGUCAUGCUGUGUUGUCCAGGCUGGAGUGUGGUGGUAAGUCAUAGUUCACUGCAGCCUCGACCUCCCGGGCUCAAGCCAUCUUCCUUCCUCAGCCUCCUGAGUAGCUGGGACUAGAGGUGCAAGCCACUAUUCCUGGUUUUAAAAAUUUUUUCCAGAGUCUGAGUCUUGCUGUAUUGCCCAGGCUGGUCUCAAAUUCCUAGCCUUAAGUGAUCCUUCCACCUUCGGCCCCAAAGUAGUUGAGAUUACAGGCAUGAGCCACCGUGCCUGACCUAAAAACGUUUGAACUACCAAAGACAGUGUGAAAAGAAUGAAAAGAUGAGGAGAAAAUAUUCACAAAUCACCUGUCAACUAAGGACCUGUAUUUGGAAUACACAGAGAACUCUUAAAACUCAACAGUAAGAAAACAGUCCAACUAAAAAGUGGAAAAGACCUGAUCAGACAUGCACCAGCAAUGACACAGCAUUGACUGUUGGGCACAGGAGAAGAGGCUUGACACCACCAGCCACCAGGAAAUGCAGAUUCAGCCACCACGCAGGACACGAGGCACCUGCACCACAGCCGCAGUGCAAGAGAAUGCUGGUGGUGCCCCAAGCUGCCAGGGUGUGGACCUGCUGGAAAUGGAAGACGGCAUGGUGGUUUCCUAUAAAGUUCAAUGUACACAGCCACAUGACCCAGCAAUCCCACUGUUGGGUAUUUAGAGAAUGAAAAACUUAAGUCCACAUAAAAACUGUACGUAAAUGUUUACUGAUGCCUUAUUCAUAAUCAUCAAAAGCUGAAAUUCAAAUGCCUUUCAUUGGGUGAACUGGUAAACUGUGGUAUAUCUAUGCAGUGAAAUACUCCUCUGCAGUGACAAUGGGGAGAGACUGACACAUUGGGCACCAUGGGGGUGGGAAGAGGUGAAGGAAGGUUGGGGGAAGGCGCCGUGGUCAGGUGUGGCACUAAGGAGAUUUGGGGGUGGAGCCAUUCUGUGUGUGGACUGUGGUGGUGGUCGCGUGACUGUACAUGUGUUAAAGCUUCAAACAAAAAAGUUAAAAAUUUUAGUUUAAAAUAUUAAAACAUUUUUAAAAAUGGACACGUAUUCCUGAAUUUUUUUUUUUUUGAGAUGGAGUUUUGCUCUUCUUGUCCAGGCUAGAGUGCAGUGGCGCCAUCUCGGCUCACCACAACCUCUGCCUCCCGGGUUCAAGCAAUUCUCCUGCCUCCUGAGUAGCUGGGAUUACAGGCAUGUGCCACCAUGCCUGGCUAAUUUUCUAUUUUUUUUAAUAGAGACGGGGUUUCUCCAUGUUGGUCAAGCUGGUCUCGAACUCCUGACCUCAGGUAAUCCACCUGCCUCAGCCUCCCAAAGUGUUGGGAUUACAGGUGUGAGCCACUGCCCCCGGCAUUCCUGAUUUUUAAUAAGCUGUAACAGAAGAUAAUUUCUCUAUUUGGUAAAUGGUAUUUGUCAAAACCCUGCAGCAAUCAUGCUUAAGUCAAGAUAUUUAAAGUAUUCCCAUUAAAGUCAGACAAGCACAGUUCUCCUUGCUAUCACUGUGAGUGUUUUCCAGACAUCCCAGCAGGGUGAGAGAACUGAAAAAGAGGGAAGGAGAUGAAUAUUGGAGACAGGGUUUAGUAGUUUGUUGAUGAUACAAUCAUCUGCAUGUAAAUCCAAGAAAAUCCCCUGAGGAACCCUGAGGACCAGCCGAGGAGUUCAGUCCGUGCCAGAUCCAGUGGGUUUCUCUACUCCACAAUAACCCAUCGGAGCAUGAGCCACAACCCUCCACCUCCAUAUGAAAGAAUCACAAAAGCUGGAAGAGAAGUGUGUAAGGACCGCCUGAGGAAGAUGCUAAAAGAGGGUGAGUUGGCAGACAUGCCACAUCGUGGGUGAAGGAUGUCAGCUGCCCCACAAAGUAAACUGUACAUUCAUUGCAAUCCUAGUUAAAUUCUGAUGAGAUUAAAUGACACAGGAUAAGCUGCUUCUGGAGCUGAUCUAACAGAAGAAAAGCCAACAUUAAAAAAAAGGCUGGGUGAGGUGGCUCACGCCUGUAAUCCCAACACUUUGGGAGGCUGAAGCAGGCGGAUCAUUUGUGUUGAGGAAUGUCAUUUGUGGUCAGCCUGGCCAGCAUGGUGAAACCCAUCUCUACUAAAAAUACAAAAAUUAGGUGGGUGUGGUGGUGGGUGCCUGUAAUCCCAGCUACUUGGGAAGCUGAGACAGGAGAAUUGCUUAGGCCUGGGAGGUGGAGGUUGGUGGUGAGCUGAGAUUGCUCCACUGCAUUCCAGCCUGGGUGACAGAAUGGUACUCUCUCUUUCACACACACACAGACACACACAAAAUAAAGAAAAAGGGCUGGCGUGGAGGCUCCUGCCAUAAUCCCAGCACUUUGGGAAACCGAGGUGGGCAGAUUGCUUGAGUUCAGUUCGAGACGAGCCUGGGCAACAUGGCAAAACCCCAUCUCUACAAAAAUAAAAAAUUAGCUGGGUGUGGUGGUGCCUGUAGUCCCAGCUACUCUGGAGGGUGAGGUGGGAGUAUGGCUUGAGGCCAGGAGCCCGAGGUUACAGUGAGCCAUGAUUGCACCACUGCACUCUGGCCUGGGUGACAGAGUGAGGCCCUGUCUCCAAAAAAAGAAAAAAAACCCCACACCAUAAAGGGGGUCCUACUGUGUCCGGAAUUGGUGGGUUCUUGGUCUCACUGACUUCAAGAAUGAAGCCGAGGGCCCUCGUAGUGAGUGUUACAGCUCUUAAAGGUGGCGUGUCUGGAGUUUGUUCCUUCUGAUGUUCGGAUGUGUUUGGAGUUUCUUCCUUCUGGUGGGUCUGUGGUCUCGCUGGCUCAGGAGUGAAGCUGCAGACCUUCGUGGUGAGUGUUACGGCUCUUAAGGUGGUGCGUCUGGAGUUGUUCAUUCUUCCCACUGGGUUCGUGGUCUCGAUGGCUCAGGAGUGAAGCUGUGGACUUUCGCGGUGAGUGUUACGGCUCUUAAGGUGCUGUGUCUGGAGUUGUUCAUUCUUCCCACUGGGUUCAUGGUCUCGAUGGCUCAGGAGUGAAGCUGCAGACCUUCGUGGUGAGUGUUACGGCUCUUAAGGUGGCGCGUCUGGAGUUGUUCAUUCUUCCCACUGGGUCCGUGGUCUCGAUGGCUCAGGAGUGAAGCUGCAGACCUUCGUGGUGAGUCUUAACAGCUCUUAAGGUUUCGCGUCUGGAGUUAUUCAUUCUUCCCACUGCGUCUGUGGUCUCGAUGGCUCAGGAGUGAAGCUGCAGACCUUCACGAUGAGUGUUACAGCUUUUAAGGCGGCGCGUCUGGAGUUGUUCAUUCUUCCCACUGGGUUCGUGGUCUCGAUGGCUUCAGGAGUGAAGCUGCAGACCUUUGCGGUGUUACAGCUCAUAAAGGCAGUGUGGACCCAAAGAGUGAGCAGCAGCAAGAUUUAUUGCAAAGAGCAAAAGAACAAAGCUUCCACAGUGUGGAAGGGGACAGGACCAGGUUGCCACUGCUGGCUCGGGCAGCCUGCUUUUAUUCUCUUAUCUGGCCCCACCCACAUCCUGCUGAUUGGUCCAUUUUACAGAGAGCUGAUUGGUCCAUUUUACAGAGAGCUGAUUGGUCCGUUUUUGACAGGGUGCUGAUUGGUGCUUUUACAAUUCCUGAGCUAGACACAAAAGAUCUCUACGUCCCCACCAGGGUAGCUAGAUACAGAGUGUCGAUUGGUGCAUUCACAAACCCUGAGCUAGACACAGCGUGCUGAUUGGUGUGUUUACAAACCUUGAGCUAGAUACAGAGUGCCGAUUGGUGUAUUUACAAUCCCUUAGCUAGACAUAAAGCUUCUCCCAAGUCCCCACCAGACUCAGGAGCCCAGCUGGCUUCACCCAGUGGAUCCUGCGCUGGGGCUGCAGGUGGAGCUGCCUGCCAGUCUUGUGCUGUGCGCCUGCACUCCUCAGCCCUUGGGUGGUCGAUGGGACUGGGUGCCGUGGAGCACGGGGCAGUGCUCGUCGGGGAGGCUGGGGCCACAUAGGAGCCCAUGGAAGGGGUGGGAGGCUCAGGCGUGGUGGGCUGCAGGUCCCGAGCCCUGCCCUGCCCUGCAGGGAGGCAGCUAAGGCCCAGCGAGAAAUUGAGCACAGCAGCUGCUGGCCCAGGUGCUAAGCCCCUCACUGCCCGGGGCCAGCAGAGCCGGUCGGCUGGCCGCUCUGAGUGCAGGGCCUGCCGAGCCCACGCCCACCCGGAACUCUUGCUGGCCUGCAAGCCUGCCCACAUCCCUGGUUCCCACCCGCGUCUGUCUCUCCAUCCACACCUCCCUGCAAGCUGAGGGAGCCGGCUCUGGCCUUGGCCAGCCCAGAAAGGGGCUCCCACAGUGCAGCGGCGGGCUGAAGGGCUCCUCAAGGGCAGCCAGAGUGGGUGCCAAGGCCAAGGAGGUGCCGAGAGCAAGCGAGGGCUGAGAGGGCUGCCAGCACACUGUCACCUCUCACUACCAGACCCGAGCAGAGCUGUGGACAACACAGUAUGGGAAUUAAGCAGGUGAGAUGACCAGAGUCCUCACUGGCACUAGAAGAUGGCAGCCCAGGAGAAAGCUACCAGCCAGAGCGAGGCCUGCCAGAGAUAGCCACAUCUCCUCUCAGAGAAUGGGGGUGAUGAGGCCCUGCAGGCCAAUCUGCCCUGUGCUGUGGGGCAGAGGAAGCUGUGGGACUGGACAACUCCAACAUUCACAGUUGUGGCACCAGCUGCAGGUGAGAAAUGUGAGGAGGGACCCUGCCCCCUCAACCUCUGAGGGGCCCUGGCAGACUGGGGGCUGUCGCCACCUGAGGGUUCCCAGCCUUCCUACAAGGCAGUGUGCAUGGUGAUGACUGAAGUCUCGGGGUAAUCUCCCAGCAAGAGGUCAGGUCCUGGUUGUGCGUCCCAGGGUGUCAGUGAAAUUGGCUGCUCCCCUGACCCAGGGCACCUUCAUGCGUCUUCACAGCAGGACUACUGUGACCAAGGCCAGACCUUUCAUCUUUCAAAAGACUUUGACUAAAAAUGCUUUAAAAAAGCAACCUUCGGCUGGACGCGCUGGCUCACGCCUGUAAUCCCAGCACUU
rnacentral:lncRNA from 1 species